rnacentral:rRNA from 1 species
UACGAAGGGGGCUAGCGUUGCUCGGAAUCACUGGGCGUAAAGGGUGCGUAGGCGGGUCUUUAAGUCAGGGGUGAAAUCCUGGAGCUCAACUCCAGAACUGCCUUUGAUACUGAAGAUCUUGAGUUCGGGAGAGGUGAGUGGAACUGCGAGUGUAGAGGUGAAAUUCGUAGAUAUUCGCAAGAACACCAGUGGCGAAGGCAGCUCGCUGGGACGGUACUGACGCUGAGACGCGAAAGCGUGGGGAGCAAACAGGG